rnacentral:rRNA from 1 species
GAUGAACGCUGGCGGCGUGCCUAAUACAUGCAAGUCGAGCGAACGGACGAGAAGCUUGCUUCUCUGAUGUUAGCGGCGGACGGGUGAGUAACACGUGGAUAACCUACCUAUAAGACUGGGAUAACUUCGGGAAACCGGAGCUAAUACCGGAUAAUAUUUUGAACCGCAUGGUUCAAAAGUGAAAGACGGUCUUGCUGUCACUUCUCGAUGGAUCCGCGCUGCAUUAGCUAGUUGGUAAGGUAACGGCUUACCAAGGCAACGAUGCAUAGCCGACCUGAGAGGGUGAUCGGCCACACUGGAACUGAGACACGGUCCAGACUCCUACGGGAGGCAGCAGUAGGGAAUCUUCCGCAAUGGGCGAAAGCCUGACGGAGCAACGCCGCGUGAGUGAUGAAGGUCUUCGGAUCGUAAAACUCUGUUAUUAGGGAAGAACAUAUGUGUAAGUAACUGUGCACAUCUUGACGGUACCUAAUCAGAAAGCCACGGCUAACUACGUG